GGGGACGAUAACAAAUGCUCUUCGGUAUCAUUUUGUACCAAACGACGUCCGCCGACACCGUUUGAUAUCAAUUAGUUACAUCUCGUUGUUGCCCUGUCACGGCAGAGGCCGCGGGUUCGAGUCCCGUCGUCCCCGCCA
rnacentral:tRNA from 1 species